rnacentral:rRNA from 1 species
AUUGAACGCUGGCGGCAUGCUUUACACAUGCAAGUCGAACGGUAACAGGGUGCUUGCACCGCUGACGAGUGGCGAACGGGUGAGUAAUACAUCGGAAUGUACCCAGUAAUGGGGGAUAACGCUUCGAAAGGAGUGCUAAUACCGCAUACGCCCUGAGGGGGAAAGUGGGGGACCGCAAGGCCUCACGUUAUUGGAGCAGCCGAUGGCUGAUUAGCUAGUUGGUGAGGUAAAGGCUCACCAAGGCGACGAUCAGUAGCGGGUCUUAGAGGACGAUCCGCCACACUGGAACUGAGACACGGUCCAGACUCCUACGGGAGGCAGCAGUGGGGAAUCUUGGACAAUGGGGGAAGCCCUGAUGCAGCCAUGCCGCGUGUGUGAAGAAGGCCUUCGGGUUGUAAAGCACUUUCAGCGAGGAGGAAAGGUUGAUACCUAAUACGUAUCAACUGUGACGUUACUCGCAGAAGAAGCACCGGCUAACUCCGUGCCAGCAGCCGCGGUAACAC